rnacentral:rRNA from 1 species
GAGUUUGAUCAUGGCUCAGAUUGAACGCUGGCGGCAGGCUUAACACAUGCAAGUCGAGCGGAGAUGAGGUGCUUGCACCUUAUCUUAGCGGCGGACGGGUGAGUAAUGCUUAGGAAUCUGCCUAUUAGUGGGGGACAACAUUCCGAAAGGGAUGCUAAUACCGCAUACGUCCUACGGGAGAAAGCAGGGGAUCUUCGGACCUUGCGCUAAUAGAUGAGCCUAAGUCGGAUUAGCUAGUUGGUGGGGUAAAGGCCUACCAAGGCGACGAUCUGUAGCGGGUCUGAGAGGAUGAUCCGCCACACUGGGACUGAGACACGGCCCAGACUCCUACGGGAGGCAGCAGUGGGGAAUAUUGGACAAUGGGGGGAACCCUGAUCCAGCCAUGCCGCGUGUGUGAAGAAGGCCUUAUGGUUGUAAAGCACUUUAAGCGAGGAGGAGGGCUACUGAGACUAAUACUCUUGGAUAGUGGACGUUACUCGCAGAAUAAGCACCGGCUAACUCUGUGCC